rnacentral:rRNA from 1 species
CACGUAGGGUGCGAGCGUUGUCCAGAAUUAUUGGGCGUAAAGAGCUCGUAGGCGGUGUGUCGCGUCGGCCGUGAAAACCUGCAGCUUAACUGUGGGCUUGCGGUCGAUACGGGCAUCACUGGAGUUCGGCAGGGGAGACUGGAAUUCCUGGUGUAGCGGUGAAAUGCGCAGAUAUCAGGAGGAACACCGGUGGCGAAGGCGGGUCUCUGGGCCGAUACUGACGCUGAGGAGCGAAAGCGUGGGGAGCGAACAGG